UACGUAGGGUGCAAGCGUUGUCCGGAAUUAUUGGGCGUAAAGAGCUCGUAGGCGGUCUGUCGCGUCUGCUGUGAAAACCUGGGGCUUAACCCCGGGCCUGCAGUGGGUACGGGCAGACUAGAGUGCGGUAGGGGAGACUGGAAUUCCUGGUGUAGCGGUGAAAUGCGCAGAUAUCAGGAGGAACACCGGUGGCGAAGGCGGGUCUCUGGGCCGUAACUGACGCUGAGGAGCGAAAGCAUGGGGAGCUAACAGG
rnacentral:rRNA from 1 species